AUUGAACGCUGGCGGCAGGCUUAACACAUGCAAGUCGAGCGGAGAUGAGGUGCUUGCACCUUAUCUUAGCGGCGGACGGGUGAGUAAUGCUUAGGAAUCUGCCUAUUAGUGGGGGACAACAUUCCGAAAGGAAUGCUAAUACCGAAUACGUCCUACGGGAGAAAGCAGGGGAUCUUCGGACCUUGCGCUAAUAGAUGAGCCUAAGUCGGAGUAGCUAGUUGGUGGGGUAAAGGCCUACCAAGGCGACGAUCUGUAGCGGGUCUGAGAGGAUGAUCCGCCACACUGGGACUGAGACACGGCCCAGACUCCUACGGGAGGCAGCAGUGGGGAAUAUUGGACAAUGGGGGGAACCCUGAUCCAGCCAUGCCGCGUGUGUGAAGAAGGCCUUAUGGUUGUAAAGCACUUUAAGCGAGGAGGAGGCUACUGAGACUAAUACUCUUGGAUAGUGGACGUUACUCGCAGAAUAAGCACCGGCUAACUCUGUGCCAGCAGCCGCGGUAAAAC
rnacentral:rRNA from 1 species